CCUACGGGUGGCAGCAGUGAGGAAUAUUGGUCAAUGGACGAAAGUCUGAACCAGCCAAGCCGCGUGAAGGAAGACGGCUCUAUGGGUUGUAAACUUCUUUUAUAUGGGAGUAAAAUGUUCCACGCGUGUUUGUUUGUAUGUACCGUACGAAUAAGGAUCGGCUAACUCCGUGCCAGCAGCCGCGGUAAUACGGAGGAUUCAAGCGUUAUCCGGAUUUAUUGGGUUUAAAGGGAGCGUAGGUGGAUUGUUAAGUCAGUUGUGAAAGCCUGCGGCUCAACCGUGGAAUUGCAGUUGAAACUGGCGGUCUUGAGUACAGUAGAGGUGGGCGGAAUGCGUGGUGUAGCGGUGAAAUGCUUAGAUAUCACGAAGAACACCGAUGGCGAAGGCAGCUCACUGGACUGCAACUGACAGUGAGGCGCGAAAGUGUGGGUAGCAAACAGGAUUAGAUACCCGGGUAGUC
rnacentral:rRNA from 1 species